ensembl:lncRNA
UUAAUAUAAUUAUGUUCUAAAGCAUGUAAAACGGGAACAUGACGGGAGUAUUCUAAAAGCGACGCAUGUAAACACCUCAAUCACAGUAUUAUCUUACUCAGAGUAAGGUCAAUAAUUAGAUUACUGCCGUCCAUGUAAACGUAGUCAUUGGUAGACGGCUACCUCACACUGCCUUUUCUUUCCCUUCUGUACUGUCUGCCUUUGUUUACUGAUAUUUUUUGUUUGCGCAUUUCGUUUUUUUCUUCUCAGCUGGCUAAUGUUAGUUAACUGCGCAGUUAGCUAGCCUACAUAUAACUCGAUACAUUCACAUUCCAACGGACUAAACCAGAUCGAACCGAAUCAAACACCUUUAACAGAGUUAACACUUCCGAACUUUUUAACCCGAUAAACGUGACGUUAAACCUGUUUCUGUUCCUCUGUACAGCUGACGCUUCAACCACUGCAGGACAAGAGUGCGGAGUUUAUCUAUUGGAAACCAUGCAGGUGUGCACGUGAUAGGGCGGGUGUGCACGUGAUAGGGCGGGUGUGCACGUGAUAGGGCGGGUAGACGCAGGCGCAACAGGAGAUGAGAGUUCAGUAGCCGAGCACACCACGACGUAUGGUCAUUUCUAUUUGUUUUUAAGUUUUGUUUGUGGGUAACGGUGGCCACUGGCGACUGGCAGAAAAAACAUGGCCGCAAAAUUAAAAAGUUAGUCGCAUUGGCGACCAUUUUAGUGGCCAUCUGGAGCCCCGGAUCUCAACGGACAAAGUGAGCUAUUCUAAAGUGAACACCACCUCCAUUAUGAAAAUGCUCCUUACACAUUUUCCUAUAGGCUGUAGCAGCUCUUACAACACCAAGGUGACACGAAGUCUAAAACGGAGCUUGAAUUCUGUAAAGAGUUGGAGAAAGAUGUGGGUAGAUAGUCAGAGUCGCUAAUUAGCUAAUGGCUUAGCUUACCACAAACAACACAUUACACACAGUUUUAUUACAGACAUUUAUUGUAUUAAAUCGUAAAACAAAACAAAAAUCGUUCAUGAUAAGUAUAUUACGACUAAUAUGAUCGUACUAACUAUAUAAACAUGUGUAUUCACAAUGGGUAAGACAAUGAGGACAUUCUCAGGUGGCUGAUAUGGCAUGGAGAAAGUCUGAUCUUCGGUAGCUACAACAGCAUUUAAACCCAGCGGGUCGUCGACACACGGAACUGGAAGCUACAAAACAUGGGGGAGAAAGACCUACGUUAAAAUUCCUGUGAGGUUAAAACAACAUUUGUGCGCUUUAAUGUUACCUUAAUUGUUCUGUGUUAUUAAUGAAUAAAAUCUAGGUCUUUUCAUGGAGAAAAAGACCUACAUUAAAAUUUCUAUCUGGGAAUAAAACACUGUUGGUGUUUUUAAUGCUAACUUCAUUUAUUAGAAUGAAAAUAAGAAAAAAAAAAUAGAAGUACAAAAGGAAACUUACCGGUAGCUGAUUUCUCAGCGGGAAUUCCUCGUUUCCGUAAACCUCCACGGCGUUUUCAGGCACCGGGUCGUCCACACACUGAACUGGAAGCUACAAAACACAGAGAAAAAAGACCUACGUUAAAAUUCCUGUGUGGGAAUAAUACACUGUUGGUGUUAAUAACGCUACCGGCAUUUAUUAGAAUGAAAAUGAGAAAAAUAGAAAAGAGAGAGAGAGAGAGAGAGAAGCAGCCCCGUUUUGUUGUAAGAGCGCAGGCAUUACAUAAGGAAACUUACUGGGAUUUGAAAUCUGGGAUUUGAAAUGGGGAAAAUGUCGUUCUCAUAAAUAACCACGCCAUUUAAUCCAGCCUGGUCGUCCACACACUGAACUGGAAACUGCAGAACACAGAGAAAUAAGACCUACAUGUAGUGUUUAGUGACAUGUUUAUAAUACAGAAGAAUGACUAAUGUUACAGUAUGUUUGUGAAAAAGAAAAUUGACAUAAAAGCUUCAUAUAGUUGUUCAUUAUUAACGGAAAUAUUUAACAUUUGCUAUUCGUCAAGCGAGUUCAAGACGUCAAUUAGUUUAAGCUUUGACUUCAUCACACAGGAUUCUUCUCUUGGUCGACAGGCCUCAACCUGAAUCUCCGUCAGUAUUAAGUAAACGGUAAUUGGCGCACAUAUAGCGUUUUUAUCCAAAGCGCUUUACACUGGGUCUCAUUCACACUCACACCAGUGGUAGCAGAGCUGCCAUGCAAGGCGCUAACUUGUCAUCGGGAGCAACUCGGGGUUCAGCGUCUUACCCAAGGACACUUCAGCAUGUGGAGUCACGCGGGCCGGGAAUCGAACCACCGACCCUACGAUUAGUGACAACCCGCUCUACCACCUGAUCCACAGCCGCCACGUGAUACAAAUGAUGAUACAAUAAAUAAAAUAAAAUUGAUUCAUACACGUAGUUUCAUUCUAACUGCUUUAUAGCCGUUACAUUACACACCCUUAUGAAGUAUAAACUGAAAUGUAACUAACGUACUACAAUGACUCACAGUUUAAAUGAACCGCUAACGUCGCGGUUAGGAACCAAACACAGCGUAGAG